UUCAUGCAGGUCCCCACAUCUGUAUCCUAAAGUUCAGAGUGGGGAAGGAACCUUGACAAACCUUAUGAGUGUGUGCUUGGGUAUAACUAGUUUUGUCCACCAGCUGUGUGUAGUUAUUGGGGGGAGCAGAAAGGAACUAGCAGAGAGAGCUGAAUCCUGCGUAUAGGCGUGUUAGGCCCAGAGCUCAAAGGCAUAGGCCUGGUCUACACUACAAAGUUAGUUUGAGGCAAAGCAACUUAUGUCAAUCUAGUUGUGCACGUGUCUACACUUAAAUUUGUCUCCCACUGAGGUAAGUGCCCCGUUACACUGACAUAGUAACACCACCUCCCUGAGAGGCAUAGAGUCAUGGUCAAUAUACUUAGGCUGAAAGUGUAGACACUGCGAUAGUUAUGCUGACCCUAAUUGUCCUUCAGCAGCUGUCCCAUAAUGCCCUACGCUAAUGAAUCUGGUCACCAUUAUGAACUCCACUGCCCAGGGGUCACAGAGACUGGAAGCUCCCCUUCCCUUUAAAGCCCUGCAAAUUUUUGAAAUUCUUUUUCCUGAUUUCCUGGCUUAGUGAGCACACUUACCAGCUCUCCAUUGUUGAGUGUGACUGACCAACUGAUCAUAAUGGCUACACACUCCAGAUGCUCUCAUGCCUAUGCCUGGAGUAGACAGGAGAUAUUGGAUCUCCCGAGUCCUGGGCCUGCAGGGAGAAAAGGCUGUGCAGGCACAGCUCGAAGCUAGCCAUAGAAACAUCAAUGUCUAUGAGCAGAUAGCAUGGAGGAUACAGGAGAAGGGCUACAACAGGAACCAGCAGUAGUGUCAUGUGAAAGCCAAGCAGCUGUGGCAGGCAUACCAGAGAGGCCAACAGUUGAUCCAGUGCUCAGCCUCAGACCUGCCGCUCUUACAAAGGGCUGUAUACCAUACUGGGCAGAGAUCCCACCACCACCCACCACAGCACCAUCCAAGAUGCCUGAGUCACAAGUUCCUGCUGUGAACAGCAAGGAGGAGGAGGAGUAUAGGGGACAAGUGACCAGGGGAAUCCAGCUGCUCAGUGAGCCAGGACCUGUUUUUGAAUCCACCGCAGUCCAGCCAGGACGAGCCCAAUGCAGGUGAAGAAACCUCAGCUGCUGCAUUGCGGCCUUGAGGGUAUCCCUCUUCACGCGUGCAGAAUGCCUGAGCCAGAUAAGGAGGGAAAAGAAGAAGACUCAAGAUAACAUGUUCAGUGAGACUUGUGAGCCAGUGCCGCAUCAGACUGAGAGCACAGGACCAGGAGAAUAAACAUUGCGGACAGCCUGGAGAGCGAAAGAGCGGAGAGGAGAAAGGCCCAGGAGUCCAAAGGAGAGGACCAGACAGGAGAAGUUGGGGUGAGGAUUCGGCAUUUGGGCAAUGGAUCAGACUCUACAAUGGUUGGUGGAACAACAAAAAGAGGUGCAGAAGACCAUGCAUUCGUUCCAGGAAUCCCAUCAGAUGGAAUGACAGUCCCUCCUUGCAUGGCAGGCCAAGCAGCAGAAGAGCCUUCAAAAGUUCAUAAAAGAACAGGCACAGAUGCAGCAGCAACCGAUACAAGGUCUGCCUCCUGGGUGUCUGGUUUCUGCUGCGAUGACAUUGCUCAAAAUCGCAGGAAUCCUAAAAGGACGCUCAGUCUUCGCCUUGGCUAAGACUGUGGAGGGUAGAAGUGCUUUCUCUGGCUAUAUAGCUCCUUUCCCUGCUACGCUCUGGCUCCAAACACACUGACAAGAGACAACUGAACGUAACAUCAGCCCCUUUUCUCUGAGUCAUGAUUGGUUCCAGUAGUAUUGCUAACCAGUUCUAUCUCUAUCAUUAGGCAAGCUGGGACACUGAGUCCUGGGCCUCUGUCUCCAUUACUGUGUAGUCCAGGGGCAGGUCUCCUAGAGGCUUAGUGUGGUAUUUCAGGAGCACCCCCUCCAACAGGGUUACAUGAUUGGUGGUGUGCUUCUUUUGUUUGCUUUCCCCUAAAUAAAUAGGUGUUUGUGGAUCCAUAUUCCCAAGGAUUCCUGAGUGCUGGUGAGUGGUAAUAACCAGGUACAAAGUGACCAGGAAGGUUAUAUUUGAACUUGGAAGGAUUAGAAUUUAUCAGUGAAUGUCAGUAAACGUUGAUUUCAUUGUACACCCACAAACUGAUGAAAAAAUAUUUCCAUCGAUAAAAAUGGAAAUUGACCGAUUGAGGCAAAGUAAGGAAAAUGCUGUUUGAGAAUUUAUUGGAGUUUGAUUUAUUGGAGAUGAUAUUUACUUUGUAUAUUUUGAAAUGCAAUGUUGCCAAUUUGUGUUCCAACAGUUAUAAAGCUUUAACUUUUUGAAUCUCAACAUUAAAUUGAAUGUAUAUCAUUAAAUAAUUAUUGUCUGACCCCUCUACAAUUUCCUACAACUAUGAAAAUGUAAGUAAUAAAAAUUUUAAAAUGCUUAAAAAUAAACAUCAUCAUGCAUUGAAAUUAUAAACAACUAACAACUGAGUUCUGCCAACCCUAGUUACAUUGUAAUUUCUUAGAGCCAGAAAAGUGUGGCUCAAGCCAUUUUAUUCAUUUUAGAAAGGGACUGCUAAACAGAUUGAACCUGCCUCUUGUUGCAGUCAUUGACAUCUGGCCGAAGGGCUACAGUUGCAAUAGCUGGGCUCAGAGCCACAUACAAUGGCUUGUACUUCCGUCCUUCAGUGCUUUGAAAACUUCUGAGUACAUGUCUAUUGCGUUCAGUUGCAUGUCAUACUGAAGCACCAGACAAACACAGAAUCCAGAAUGUGAUACAAUCAGGUAAAUAAGACAUGCAGUGGGAAGUUUCUGAAAUAGUGAAGAAGUGCAAAUCACUAGAUCAGAAUGAUCAUCUGUGCAUUUUACAUCCCUCAGGGCUUGAAUCUCCACUUCUUUGCUCUGUGUAGUCAUUUACAUCUGUGCAAAGUGAGGGUAAAAUGCUUGCUUUCUGAUUUGCAUUUUCCACCUCUUUGCACUCACUUUUCAAAGCUGUAAUGACUGCAUAAGGUGCAAGUAAGUAAAAGCAGCGGUUCAUAGGUUGUGGCUUCCAGUGCUACUACAGGCUUAUCAAUACCUCAGUUCUAAGAGUAAGGUGACCAGAUGUCUCAAUUUUAUAGGGACAGUCUCA